UAUGUGGUAUUGCAACACCAGUUAUUCUGUCAGUGUCAGCUGUAACUAUACUUUUAGCUAAUUGAUCUGCACUUUCAUUUCCUUGAACACCAAUAUGUGACGGAGUCCAUAAAAAUUUUACUUCCAAAUUAUUUUCUUUCAAUUUCCACCACGAACUUUUGAUUUCAUAUAUGAUGAAAGACGUUUUGGCAUCCAAAGUUCUUGUCUUCAGUGCCUUCAAGACACUCAUGCUAUCAGAGAUCAGUAACCAUUUAUUAGAUACAUGUGGGUUUUCUUCUAUAUAUUUAAGAGCGUUUAAUACAGCAUAACAUUCUGCAGUGUAUAUGCUUGCUGAUGCAGAAAUGGAAAGGCCACGUCCAAUUUUCAGAUGAGAUAUUUAAACCUAAGUAAAAUAGGAGGAGUAACACAUUCAGCCUGUAAAGACACGAUAGGAGUUGUUCUCAUAGAACCGGAAUGCAUAAAGACCUCAACUCUGAGGCGAGUACAUCAAGAUUGACAUUAUUAAAUGCACCAACAAUGUCAAAGAAUAUACUAAUUAAUACUUCAUUAUUAUUCAUUGAUUUAAAGAUGUCUAAAUGAAGAAAUGCAAUACUUUCUCUAGAUGACUUACAGCGCCUGAAUCCAAACUGAUUUGACGGAAAAUGAUAGCUACCUAGAGAGUCAUCAUCACAUACUUGCCACUCACAAGACAGUGCCAGUGAAGAUGAAACAAAUGUUAAGUCUAAUGCAUUCUGCCUCCAUCUAUGAGAUCCUACUGUAGUCAUCUGACCAUCAUUCAAGAGUACAAGAUUGUUGUCAUCUAUACUUGAAAGAACGUCCCUACCUCGUGAAUCCAAUUCAGUACAUCCCCAUAUUGUAUGAUGGGCAUUGAAAUCACCAGCAACAAAGACUGGCUGUGGCAAGCUUUGAAUUAAAUUAUCUAGUUUUGAUUUGCUAUAAUUAAUUGUUGAAUUUGGGGGACAGUAAACACUAAGUAAGGUUAAUAAUGUAUUAUUGUAUUGUAUUUGUACAACUAUAUUUUGUAAUGAGUCAUCAGAGAAUGUAUUGAUAAUGCGAAAUCCAAUUUUGUUAUGAAGAAGUAUUGCUACUCCAUUAUGAUCAUUACCUGAAUCUAAACGUACAAUAUUAUAACCCUUAACUCUAAAAUUUUGCCUAGGUUUAAGCCAAGUUUCACAUAGAAGAGCAACAUCUAUAUUGUUCUCGUAUAAAAAUUGUGUAAAUUGAAAGCAAUUUUUAAUUAAACUCUGUGCAUUCCAUUGUAAAAUGUUAAAAUGAUCCAUAAAAUAUUAAAUGUUAAAUAAU